AACGAACGCUGGCGGCGUGCCUAACACAUGCAAGUCGAACGAGAAACUCCGGGCUUGCUCGGGGGAGUAAAGUGGCGCACGGGUGAGUAACGCGUGGGUAACCUACCCCUGAAACGGGGAUAAGCCACCGAAAGGCGGUCUAAUACCCGAUACGGUCCUGAGGACCCCGGUCUUCAGGAUGAAAGGUGACCUCUUCAUGAAAGUUGCCGUUCAAGGAUGGGCCCGCGUCCCAUUAGCUUGUUGGUAGGGUAAUGGCCUACCAAGGCGACGAUGGGUAGCUGGUCUGAGAGGAUGACCAGCCACACUGGAACUGAAACACGGUCCAGACUCCUACGGGAGGCAG
rnacentral:rRNA from 1 species